UGGCAGGCAACUUUCCCUUUGCUAGAGAGUCACCGCGCAGACCAUAUCUUUCGCUGGUGUAAGCCCUCUGCAGUCUUCCCUCAUCUUCUUCUUUGCGGCUUCAGCAAUCUCAAACAGCCACUGGGAGUAGGGGAGAGAUACAUGGAGCCACCAACUUCCCAGGUGAUGUCAAGCAGAGACGACCCCCAAGAUCAAAUCAUCAACGCAGGUUGUUCCUGCUGCUAUGACUGCCUGACGAGCUGCUUCGACUACAUCUGCUGCUACUGCCUCUGGGACUGCUAGGCUUGGCAGAGAGUGAACCCAUGGCCCGACUCAUCAUCUCGUUCUUUGUGCUUGCGCUCUUUCUCCCCGUCACAGUGAAGAUGGAGUGAGUGGGUUCAUCCAUACCCAUGCAAUCUUCUGUGUUUUCCGCAACGGUAACCGCUACAAGUCAUCAUCCGUUUCUUUGGUGUUUUAGCUGAUAGAACAGUGAAGUGGGAUGAACAGGAGAUCACUGCUCUGUUGGCUGAGGCAUCAUGUACCCAUUGCUCUUUAGUUUCCCGAAAGCAUCUCUGAUGUCAAACUCGGCAAAA